GGGUUGUGAGGUUAAGCGACUAAGCGUACACGGUGGAUGCCCUGGCAGUCAGAGGCGAUGAAGGACGUGCUAAUCUGCGAUAAGCGUCGGUAAGGUGAUAUGAACCGUUAUAACCGGCGAUUUCCGAAUGGGGAAACCCAGUGUGAUUCGUCACACUAUCAUUAACUGAAUCCAUAGGUUAAUGAGGCGAACCGGGGGAACUGAAACAUCUAAGUACCCCGAGGAAAAGAAAUCAACCGAGAUUCCCCCAGUAGCGGCGAGCGAACGGGGAGCAGCCCAGAGCCUGAAUCAGUGUGUGUGUUAGUGGAAGCGUCUGGAAAGGCGCGCGAUACAGGGUGACAGCCCCGUACACAAAAAUGCACAUAUUGUGAGCUCGAUGAGUAGGGCGGGACACGUGGUAUCCUGUCUGAAUAUGGGGGGACCAUCCUCCAAGGCUAAAUACUCCUGACUGACCGAUAGUGAACCAGUACCGUGAGGGAAAGGCGAAAAGAACCCCGGCGAGGGGAGUGAAAAAGAACCUGAAACCGUGUACGUACAAGCAGUGGGAGCCUCUUUAUGGGGUGACUGCGUACCUUUUGUAUAAUGGGUCAGCGACUUAUAUUCUGUAGCAAGGUUAACCGAAUAGGGGAGCCGAAGGGAAACCGAGUCUUAACUGGGCGUUAAGUUGCAGGGUAUAGACCCGAAACCCGGUGAUCUAGCCAUGGGCAGGUUGAAGGUUGGGUAACACUAACUGGAGGACCGAACCGACUAAUGUUGAAAAAUUAGCGGAUGACUUGUGGCUGGGGGUGAAAGGCCAAUCAAACCGGGAGAUAGCUGGUUCUCCCCGAAAGCUAUUUAGGUAGCGCCUCGUGAAUUCAUCUCCGGGGGUAGAGCACUGUUUCGGCAAGGGGGUCAUCCCGACUUACCAACCCGAUGCAAACUGCGAAUACCGGAGAAUGUUAUCACGGGAGACACACGGCGGGUGCUAACGUCCGUCGUGAAGAGGGAAACAACCCAGACCGCCAGCUAAGGUCCCAAAGUCAUGGUUAAGUGGGAAACGAUGUGGGAAGGCCCAGACAGCCAGGAUGUUGGCUUAGAAGCAGCCAUCAUUUAAAGAAAGCGUAAUAGCUCACUGGUCGAGUCGGCCUGCGCGGAAGAUGUAACGGGGCUAAACCAUGCACCGAAGCUGCGGCAGCGACGCUUAUGCGUUGUUGGGUAGGGGAGCGUUCUGUAAGCCUGUGAAGGUGUGCUGUGAGGCAUGCUGGAGGUAUCAGAAGUGCGAAUGCUGACAUAAGUAACGAUAAAGCGGGUGAAAAGCCCGCUCGCCGGAAGACCAAGGGUUCCUGUCCAACGUUAAUCGGGGCAGGGUGAGUCGACCCCUAAGGCGAGGCCGAAAGGCGUAGUCGAUGGGAAACAGGUUAAUAUUCCUGUACUUGGUGUUACUGCGAAGGGGGGACGGAGAAGGCUAUGUUGGCCGGGCGACGGUUGUCCCGGUUUAAGCGUGUAGGCUGGUUUUCCAGGCAAAUCCGGAAAAUCAAGGCUGAGGCGUGAUGACGAGGCACUACGGUGCUGAAGCAACAAAUGCCCUGCUUCCAGGAAAAGCCUCUAAGCAUCAGGUAACAUCAAAUCGUACCCCAAACCGACACAGGUGGUCAGGUAGAGAAUACCAAGGCGCUUGAGAGAACUCGGGUGAAGGAACUAGGCAAAAUGGUGCCGUAACUUCGGGAGAAGGCACGCUGAUAUGUAGGUGAAGUCCCUCGCGGAUGGAGCUGAAAUCAGUCGAAGAUACCAGCUGGCUGCAACUGUUUAUUAAAAACACAGCACUGUGCAAACACGAAAGUGGACGUAUACGGUGUGACGCCUGCCCGGUGCCGGAAGGUUAAUUGAUGGGGUUAGCGGUAACGCGAAGCUCUUGAUCGAAGCCCCGGUAAACGGCGGCCGUAACUAUAACGGUCCUAAGGUAGCGAAAUUCCUUGUCGGGUAAGUUCCGACCUGCACGAAUGGCGUAAUGAUGGCCAGGCUGUCUCCACCCGAGACUCAGUGAAAUUGAACUCGCUGUGAAGAUGCAGUGUACCCGCGGCAAGACGGAAAGACCCCGUGAACCUUUACUAUAGCUUGACACUGAACAUUGAGCCUUGAUGUGUAGGAUAGGUGGGAGGCUUUGAAGUGUGGACGCCAGUCUGCAUGGAGCCGACCUUGAAAUACCACCCUUUAAUGUUUGAUGUUCUAACGUUGACCCGUGAUCCGGGUUGCGGACAGUGUCUGGUGGGUAGUUUGACUGGGGCGGUCUCCUCCUAAAGAGUAACGGAGGAGCACGAAGGUUGGCUAAUCCUGGUCGGACAUCAGGAGGUUAGUGCAAUGGCAUAAGCCAGCUUGACUGCGAGCGUGACGGCGCGAGCAGGUGCGAAAGCAGGUCAUAGUGAUCCGGUGGUUCUGAAUGGAAGGGCCAUCGCUCAACGGAUAAAAGGUACUCCGGGGAUAACAGGCUGAUACCGCCCAAGAGUUCAUAUCGACGGCGGUGUUUGGCACCUCGAUGUCGGCUCAUCACAUCCUGGGGCUGAAGUAGGUCCCAAGGGUAUGGCUGUUCGCCAUUUAAAGUGGUACGCGAGCUGGGUUUAGAACGUCGUGAGACAGUUCGGUCCCUAUCUGCCGUGGGCGCUGGAGAACUGAGGGGGGCUGCUCCUAGUACGAGAGGACCGGAGUGGACGCAUCACUGGUGUUCGGGUUGUCAUGCCAAUGGCACUGCCCGGUAGCUAAAUGCGGAAGAGAUAAGUGCUGAAAGCAUCUAAGCACGAAACUUGCCCCGAGAUGAGUUCUCCCUGACUCCUUGAGAGUCCUGAAGGAACGUUGAAGACGACGACGUUGAUAGGCCGGGUGUGUAAGCGCAGCGAUGCGUUGAGCUAACCGGUACUAAUGAACCGUGAGGCUUAACCUUACAACGCCGAAGGUGUUU
rnacentral:rRNA from 1 species